AAGAGGGACUCAGAUCACUUGGAAUUAUGGCAAUGUAUUGCAAGGAUACCUAUGAAAAUGGGGGAUCACGAGAAGUUGAACUUUGCAUCCCAGUUCUGAAACAUGCAGCGACCUCAUGGAGACAGAUUCAUCACUCGGCAUUUUGGGGCGGUAGCAAGUUCAAGUGACCUGCCAGAUUUCUUAGCAUUAACUUGAAAGAUAACAUACUUGUUUGAUUUCAUUUGAUUUGAUUUGAUUUGAUUUCUACUAGUCAAAUGGGCACAUUGAUUAGGCUGACUCUCCCCCAGGAACCCUGGGAGCCUAUGACAUCCCUUAUGUCCAAACAAGACACAGCCCCUCUGUGGCCUCAGCAUAUUUGCCCAGUCCAAUCAGCUAUAGCCAGAACAGAAAGGAAGGAAUACCCAAGACAGGGAAGUAGAUUUGCCCAGGCAGCAGCAGCCUGCUACUUCCCUGCUAACCAGGGCAGAGGCUGGCCUGCCCCCCUACCUGGAUGGCCCCUGCUGUCAUGGCUUUUCUGCUUCUAGAAGCCAUCCCUGAGAACAUCAUUGCAGAACUCAAAACACAUUGCAUCAUACAAAAUGAAGUGGAGAAUUAAGGCAAUUAUCCAAUUAUUAAAAACCAUUUCUCAUU